UACAGAGGGGGCAAGCGUUGUUCGGAAUUACUGGGCGUAAAGGGCGCGUAGGCGGCCCGCUAAGUCGAACGUGAAAUCCCCGAGCUCAACUCGGGAACUGCGUCCGAUACUGGCGGGCUUGAAUCCGGGAGAGGGAUGCGGAAUUCCAGGUGUAGCGGUGAAAUGCGUAGAUAUCUGGAGGAACACCGGUGGCGAAAGCGGCUUCCUGGUCCGACACCGACGUUCAGGCACGAAAGCGUGGGGAGCAAACAGGG
rnacentral:rRNA from 1 species